rnacentral:rRNA from 1 species
CGUGAGCCCCCGGGCGGAUUGCUAGCCAUCCUUGUGCUGUGUCUUGUUGUAUGGAUGCACGCUACUCUCAGGAUGGCGCGUCCUGCCUUUUAAACCAUUCACCAUAUAUUCUUACAAACUGCUCGCAUGAGCACAAACAACCGAAAACUGCCAGCAAUGGAUCACUCGGUUCUCGCAUCGAUGAAAGAGCGUAACGAAUUGCGAAAAGUAAUGUGAUUUGUAACAGUCCGUGAAUCAUUGAAUUCUUGAACGCACCUUGCACUGUGUGGGCAACUGCACAGUCUGCCUGUCUGAGUAUUGACUAGAACUCACCUCAGCCCCCGGGCUGGAUGGUGGGCGCUGCACCGACGUAUGUCAGUGGCGCCUGCAACGCACUUGGUGCGCGCACUGUGACAUGGCUGCACGGGUGGGCUACACGCAUAAUCUCGAGGCACUUGUUGCUAGCAGUUUAUGUGGACGGCCCAUCACGCCACGCAUCAAGCAGGGCGCGCACAGCUCAGUCACCACUUCUCAUGCAAUCUCAGAUCAGGUAGGAUUCCCGCUUAACUUAAGCAUAUCAGUCAGCGGAGGAAAAGAAACCAACAGGGAUUCCCCUUAGAACGGCGAGUGAAGCGGGAAUAGCUCAGGCUGAAAAUCAAGCGUGCACCGGCACGCCUUGACGUGUGGUCUGACGAGGCCUGCUCGGCGGCAGCGUGCGCUCAAGUCCUCUGGAAAGGGGCACCGUGGAGGGUGACAGUCCCGUUCGCAGCGCACAGCUCGUCGCCAUGAGAGCGGUCUUCAGAGAGUCGGGUUGCUUGGGAGUGCAGCCCAAACGGGGUGGUAUACGCCAUCCAAGGCUAAAUAUCAGCGAGAGACCGAUAGCGAACAAGUACUGUGAAGGAAAGUUGAAAAGCACUCUGGAGAGAGAGUCAAACGAGCACGUGAAAUUGCUGGCAGGGAAGCGCUGGGCGUCAGUGCGCACGCGCGCAGGAACAGGCUCGCGGCGGUGGUCUGCAGCCGUGCACGAUGUGCAUGGCCGUGGUGCUGCUGCCGGGGGCUGCACGCCUGCGUGUGUGGGUCAGCAUCGGUUGCGUCCGCCACACAACGGCCGGAUGUGCUGCGCUUCGGCGUGGCGCGUCUGGUGCGGCAUGGCGGGUGCGACCGAGGAAUGCAGGGCG